CCCACCUCUGCCACUGCGUCCUGCAGGCACCUUCUACGCGACGGUUCGUCUUGUAUCGUCCGUGGGUGGCGCGCAGCGGCGCAGGCCUGCCAGCGAGGAGAGCACGAAGAGGCGUGAGAUGCCUCACCGAGCGCCGCCGAUGGAUGGGGUUGCUGUUAUUCGUUGCCUCAUUGGCGUCAGCCAGGUUUUGUGGGAGGCGGAUCCAAACCUCAUAGGAAGGCUCGAGCAGAGGUGAAGAACUGAAGAUGAUGGUUCUGUUAACCAUUAGCUAGUCCAUGAUUAUGGUGCAGAGGUGUGAAGGGCUAGAGCAAUUCGGAAAAGUUGUUGACCUCAUAUGUAGGAUGACCGAAGACAGUCCAUAAUUUAGAUGCUUUCUUAUGAGAUGUCAUGAGAGUAGCAAAUUUUGCAUUUCA